ACCUACCGGAUUCCUUCCCCAUUAGUCCUAACCACAGGGCUGAGUGGCUAUAAAAGGAGGAGAGCUGAACCUGAAACUGACUUCAAUUCUCUGCGACACACAGCUAGUUUCAGACUCAG
rnacentral:snoRNA from 1 species